rnacentral:rRNA from 1 species
UACGUAGGGACCAAGCGUUGUCCGGAAUCAUUGGGCGUAAAGCGCGCGUAGGUGGCCAUUUAAGUCCGCUGUGAAAGUCAAAGGCUCAACCUUUGAAAGCCGGUGGAUACUGGAUGGCUAGAGUACGGAAGAGGCGAGUGGAAUUCCUGUUGUAGCGGUGGAAUGCGCAGAUAUCAAGAGGAACACCCAUGGCGAAGGCAGCUCGCUGGCCUAUAACUGACGCUGAGGCGCGAAAGCUGGGGGAGCAAACAGG